GACGGAGGACGCAAGUGUUAUCCGGAAUCACUGGGCGUAAAGCGUCUGUAGGUGGUCAAAUAAGUCAACUGUUAAAUCUUGAGGCUCAACCUCAAAAUCGCAGUCGAAACUAUUAGACUAGAGUAUAGUAGGGGUAAAGGGAAUUUCCAGUGGAGCGGUGAAAUGCGUAGAGAUUGGAAAGAACACCGAUGGCGAAGGCACUUUACUGGGCUAUUACUAACACUCAGAGACGAAAGCUAGGGUAGCAAAUGGG
rnacentral:rRNA from 1 species